AGUUGGCCAGAAUCACAAUUAACAUUCUCAGGGGACAUGCUGUGCAGGGCUCAGUGGCUUCCCCACCAUCACUCGUGUUUGUGGGUGGUCAAGUAGGAACUGGGAUUCCAGAAGUGCUGACUCACUGACUGUCUGACCAGCACUGUGUAAGUGAGUCUGAACUGUUGAUGCGACUAGGAACAGCAGCAACUUCUCUGAGAAGUUGGCCUUUGCACCCUAGACGUAUGUUUUUGAAACAUCUGCGUGUGUCUGGGUUCCGGAUGUGAAAAAGUUCUCCCGUCCGAUGGUUUUCAGUGUAAGUGAAACUCCAAAAUCCACUCUAAUAGUACGCUUAACGACCUCUUUCUCCCUUUUCAAUAAAUAUGGAUGAAAUGAAUUUUCAGGGAACUGAGUUAUUCAGGGAAGCCAACGUGUUAAAUAUAGCAAAGAGUAUAAUGAUAAGGCUGGGGGUUUAAGAAGAUCAUCCAGUUCAUGAAAAUUUGCACGAAACUAGGCCCCACAGUCUUCCUUUCAAUUAGAAGGACCUGAAAGCCAGGGCUGUGCUGAAAGCUGUCAGCACACUUGGCAUUUGCAUUUUCAUUCGGAGUCCAGGCUCCAUGAAUAGUGCCAGCAUCCUUUAAGAUAAACCUGCUAGUCAGUUAAUUUGUG
rnacentral:lncRNA from 1 species